rnacentral:lncRNA from 1 species
ACAUAUUCUGCUGGUAGCUGGCCAAGCUCAGGUCAUUCCUGAUCCAGCUUACACAGACCUUCCAUGUUCCCUGUCUACAGACCAUGAGCUCCCUCAGGUUCAAGGCAGCAAGACUCACGAUCCUGUUCACAGAAUGUGCCUGUUUUGCAGUCAUGGAGACACCCAGCCAGGUCCAAGCUGGUCUGCAUUGAUUUGAACAGAAGGUAGCGCUGGAACUGCUCUACUACCUGGAAGACCUCUGAGUUCUGGUUAAGUUCAUUUUGAUCCUGGUCGUAUCUUAAAGUGUACUUGCACACAGCUUGAGCCUGCCUGGAUGCUGUUCUUCAGUCAUUUCUCUCUUCUGCCCCAAUUUGUAUUCCUGCCCUCCAGCAUCACGUUGGUCAGAAUCCUCUCAUUCUCCUGCACAGAGGCCAGAUGGAAGCGUGCUCCUUCAUCACUGCUUGUUUUGCAUAAUGUGGGAAUUGGAACUACAUUGGACAGCAUAAAUAAGUUUGGCCACUGGGAAUACAGUACAGGGGUGGGAACACAAUCCCAUAAUUGA